rnacentral:rRNA from 1 species
AGGUUCGGAAUAACAGUUAGAAAUGACUGCUAAUACCGGAUAAUGUCUUCGGACCAAAGAUUUAUCGCCUUUAGAUGGGCCCGCGUAGGAUUAGAUAGUUGGUGGGGUAAUGGCCUACCAAGUCGACGAUCCUUAGCUGGUCUGAGAGGAUGAUCAGCCACACUGGGACUGAGACACGGCCCANACUCCUACGGGAGGCAGCAGUGGGGAAUAUUGGACAAUGGGCGAAAGCCUGAUCCAGCAAUGCCGCGUGAGUGAUGAAGGCCUUAGGGUUGUAAAGCUCUUUUACCAGGGAUGAUAAUGACAGUACCUGGAGAAUAAGCUCCGGCUAACUCCGUGCCAGCAGCCGCGGUAAUACGGAGGGAGCUAGCGUUGUUCGGAAUUACUGGGCGUAAAGCGCACGUA